rnacentral:rRNA from 1 species
UGCCAGCAGCCGCGGUAAUACGAAGGGGGCGAGCGUUGUUCGGAUUUACUGGGCGUAAAGGGCGCGUAGGCGGUUAUAUAAGUAUGGGGUGAAAUCCCGAGGCUCAACCUCGGAACUGCCUUAUAAACUAUAUAACUAGAGGACGAGAGAGGUAAGUGGAAUUCUCAGUGUAGAGGUGAAAUUCGUAGAUAUUGAGAAGAACACCAGUGGCGAAGGCGGCUUACUGGCUCGUUUCUGACGCUGAGGCGCGAAAGCGUGGGGAGCAAACAGGAUUAGAAACCCCAGUAGUCC